UUGUUUUUAUUUUUUCACUUUUGCUCUCUCCCUCUCUCAAGCAUCGGCCGCUCACCAAAUUCCCAAAUCAAACGAAACUCCGGCAACCGCCCUGGUGUCGAUUUGCCUUCGACGCAUGAAAGUCAUUUAAAGGCCUAAGGAAACUCGACCCUUUGGUUUCUCCUAGCCCCGAUUACUCCGGCGACGAGAGAAUCCCAACUCAACUACGAUCAGAGAGAUGGCGUUGGCAUAGAGCAUGGCUUGCUGGCACUGUCGGGCAUGUCUUGAGACAGGGUGUGGCAGCAAUCGGGCAUUAAGUGCGUCGAUUUGUAGGGAUUUUAUCCCUUUUGUUUGACUCUUUUUUAAUUAAAUAAUAAUAAUUAAAUAUAUGUAGAAAAAAAUUGGUGA